rnacentral:rRNA from 1 species
AGAGUUUGAUCAUGGCUCAGAUUGAACGCUGGCGGCAGGCCUAACACAUGCAAGUCGAACGGUAACAGGAAACAGCUUGCUGUUUCGCUGACGAGUGGCGGACGGGUGAGUAAUGUCUGGGAAACUGCCUGAUGGAGGGGGAUAACUACUGGAAACGGUAGCUAAUACCGCAUAACGUCGCAAGACCAAAGAGGGGGACCUUCGGGCCUCUUGCCAUCAGAUGUGCCCAGAUGGGAUUAGCUAGUAGGUGGGGUAACGGCUCACCUAGGCGACGAUCCCUAGCUGGUCUGAGAGGAUGACCAGCCACACUGGAACUGAGACACGGUCCAGACUCCUACGGGAGGCAGCAGUGGGGAAUAUUGCACAAUGGGCGCAAGCCUGAUGCAGCCAUGCCGCGUGUAUGAAGAAGGCCUUCGGGUUGUAAAGUACUUUCAGCGGGGAGGAAGGGAGUAAAGUUAAUACCUUUGCUCAUUGACGUUACCCGCAGAAGAAGCACCGGCUAACUCCGUGCCAGCAGCCGCGGUAAUACGGAGGGUGCAAGCGUUAAUCGGAAUUACUGGGCGUAAAGCGCACGCAGGCGGUUUGUUAAGUCAGAUGUGAAAUCCCCGGGCUCAACCUGGGAACUGCAUCUGAUACUGGCAAGCUUGAGUCUCGUAGAGGGGGGUAGAAUUCCAGGUGUAGCGGUGAAAUGCGUAGAGAUCUGGAGGAAUACCGGUGGCGAAGGCGGCCCCCUGGACGAAGACUGACGCUCAGGUGCGAAAGCGUGGGGAGCAAACAGGAUUAGAUACCCUAGUAGUCCACGCCGUAAACGAUGUCGACUUGGAGGUUGUGCCCUUGAGGCGUGGCUUCCGGAGCUAACGCGUUAAGUCGACCGCCUGGGGAGUACGGCCGCAAGGUUAAAACUCAAAUGAAUUGACGGGGGCCCGCACAAGCGGUGGAGCAUGUGGUUUAAUUCGAUGCAACGCGAAGAACCUUACCUGGUCUUGACAUCCACGGAAGUUUUCAAAGAUGAGAAUGUGCCUUCGGGAACCGUGAGACAGGUGCUGCAUGGCUGUCGUCAGCUCGUGUUGUGAAAUGUUGGGUUAAGUCCCGCAACGAGCGCAACCCUUAUCCUUUGUUGCCAGCGGUCCGGCCGGGAACUCAAAGGAGACUGCCAGUGAUAAACUGGAGGAAGGUGGGGAUGACGUCAAGUCAUCAUGGCCCUUACGACCAGGGCUACACACGUGCUACAAUGGCGCAUACAAAGAGAAGCGACCUCGCGAGAGCAAGCGGACCUCAUAAAGUGCGUCGUAGUCCGGAUUGGAGUCUGCAACUCGACUCCAUGAAGUCGGAAUCGCUAGUAAUCGUGGAUCAGAAUGCCACGGUGAAUACGUUCCCGGGCCUUGUACACACCGCCCGUCACACCAUGGGAGUGGGUUGCAAAAGAAGUAGGUAGCUUAACCUUCGGGAGGGCGCUUACCACUUUGUGAUUCAUGACUGGGGUGAAGUCGUAACAAGGUAACCGUAGGGGAACCUGCGGUUG